rnacentral:rRNA from 1 species
AUUGAACGCUGGCGGAAUGCUUUACACAUGCAAGUCGAACGGUAGAGGGGGCAACCCCUUGAGAGUGGCGAACGGGUGAGUAAUAUAUCGGAACGUGCCCAGUCGUGGGGGAUAACGUAGCGAAAGUUACGCUAAUACCGCAUACGAUCUAAGGAUGAAAGCGGGGGACCGUAAGGCCUCGCGCGAUUGGAGCGGCCGAUAUCAGAUUAGGUAGUUGGUGGGGUAAAGGCUCACCGAGCCAACGAUCUGUAGCUGGUCUGAGAGGACGACCAGCCACACUGGAACUGAGACACGGUCCAGACUCCUACGGGAGGCAGCAGUGGGGAAUUUUGGACAAUGGACGCAAGUCUGAUCCAGCCAUUCCGCGUGCAGGAUGAAGGCCCUCGGGUUGUAAACUGCUUUGUACGGAACGAAAAGGUCUCUCUUAAUACGGGGGGCUCAUGACGGUACCGUAAGAAUAAGCACCGGCUAACUACGUG